ensembl:lncRNA
AUGAAACGCCAGCAACAGAUGACUUUAAUGUCUUCAUGGAUGAAAAAAAAGAAAGGAGAUAGCACAGAUGAGGUGGAGCUGCUUCAGAACAGAGAGGGUGAGAUAGGGAAAAGCAGUAGCAGCAUGACGUUACAGAGAACAGAUGAGGUGAAGCUGCUUAAAGACAGGGAGGGUGAGACAGGGAGAAGUAGCUCAGAGUUGCAGGUGAGACAGGGAACAGGCGCAAGCGAAGAAGUGCAGGUAGGCAGGCAGGAUGCUGAACCCAACCAUGCUAACCCGAAGCUCAUUGCAGUGCAGCAGAAUUUAUCAUUAUAAACAACUUAAUUAUUUCCUGGAUUUUGUAUCACCAUAGUCCCUAACUGUAUGUAAAUGGAGGAAAUGGGAUUCAAAUCGAAAACAUUUUUCCCCAUUUUGUGUCCCCCCCACUUCUCAAACCAAAGUUACACCCUUGGCGAGCCCUAUUACUUCAAAGCGGAAGUACGUCACGAGUCUACAUGCAAGUAGUCCAUUACUCUUUGGCUCCCUUUGCAGGCAUUUGUAAUAACAUGUAAUGUACAUAAAUUGUUUAUUUUGUAUUAGCCUACAUUAUGUAUUUUAACAGUGUUAUUAACCAAUCAUUAUUGCCUCGUUGUUUUUUAUAUAAUGCAUUUUAAGUCAUUUUAAAGGCUAUUGAUGGCUUAGGUCUGUUCUUAAAGCAACAACAACAACAACAACAACAACAAAAGUAUAUUAAUACUUCUUUGUAAAUUAUUAUUUGAACCCACGUAGGAGGGGACGUUCUCGCGACCUUGUGCAACGUUCCCUAAAAGUUCUCUAAAGGUAACGAAAGUUCCGAACCUUUACAGAACAUUAGGGACGUUCAUGGAACGUCCUCUUUUGGUUAUGAAAGUUCUGCAGUUCAAGGUUCAUUAUAUGACUUUAGGGGGACGUUCUAUUUGGGGUAUUUUAUGGUCAUAUAGCAAACGUUACAAACGGACAUUCGGGACGUUAACAGAACGUUCUCGCAUGGUCCUCUGUUGGUCAUAUAAUAACGUUCCCAAUGUGACUUUAGGGGAACGUUCCAUACUGGUUAUUAUAUGGUCACACAACAACGUUACAAAUAUGACAAAUUAAUGAAAGCAAAUAUGUAUUAAAUGUACAUCUAAUUAAUUCAUGAAAAAUAUUAAAGAAUAAUACAAUAAGUAUAAAACUUAAAAAUAAUAACACUUA